rnacentral:rRNA from 1 species
GAUGAACGCUGGCGGCGUGCCUAAUACAUGCAAGUCGAGCGAACGGACGAGAAGCUUGCUUCUCUGAUGUUAGCGGCGGACGGGUGAGUAACACGUGGAUAACCUACCUAUAAGACUGGGAUAACUUCGGGAAACCGGAGCUAAUACCGGAUAAUAUUUUGAACCGCAUGGUUCAAAAGUGAAAGACGGUCUUGCUGUCACUUAUAGAUGGAUCCGCGCUGCAUUAGCUAGUUGGUAAGGUAACGGCUUACCAAGGCAACGAUGCAUAGCCGACCUGAGAGGGUGAUCGGCCACACUGGAAAGGAGACACGGUCAAGACUCCUACGGGAGGCAGCAGUAGGGAAUCUUCCGCAAUGGGCGAAAGCCUGGCGGAGCAACGCCGCGUGAGUGAUGAAGGUCUUCGGAUCGUAAAACUCUGUUAUUAGGGAAGAACAUAUGUGUAAGUAACUGUGCACAUCUUGACGGUACCUAAUCAGAAAGCCACGGCUAACUAC